rnacentral:rRNA from 1 species
AGAGUUUGAUUCUGGCUCAGGAUGAACGCUGGCGGCGUGCUUAACACAUGCAAGUCGAACGGACUUUACAUGAAGCCUAGCGAUUGUAAAGUUAGUGGCGGACGGGUGAGUAACGCGUGAAUAACCUGCCCUGUACCGGGGGACAACAGUUGGAAACGACUGCUAAUACCGCAUAAGCGCACGGUUCCGCAUGGAACAGUGUGAAAAACUCCGGUGGUACAGGAUGGAUUCGCGUCUGAUUAGCCAGUUGGUGGGGUAACGGCCUACCAAAGCAACGAUCAGUAGCCGGCCUGAGAGGGUGAACGGCCACAUUGGGACUGAGACACGGCCCAA